rnacentral:rRNA from 1 species
UACGAAGGGGGCUAGCGUUGCUCGGAAUCACUGGGCGUAAAGCGCACGUAGGCGGCUUUUUAAGUCAGGGGUGAAAUCCUGGAGCUCAACUCCAGAACUGCCUUUGAUACUGAGAAGCUUGAGUCCGGGAGAGGUGAGUGGAACUGCGAGUGUAGAGGUGAAAUUCGUAGAUAUUCGCAAGAACACCAGUGGCGAAGGCGGCUCACUGGCCCGAUACUGACGCUGAUGCACGAAAGCGUGGGGAGCAAACAGG